UACAGAGGGUGCGAGCGUUGUCCGGAAUCACUGGGCGUAAAGGGCGCGUAGGCGGCGCGGUAAGCGUGCGGUGAAAGCCCGGGGCUCAACCCCGGGUCGGCCGUGCGGACUGCCGGGCUGGAGUACUGUAGAGGCAGGUGGAAUUCCGGGUGUAGCGGUGGAAUGCGUAGAGAUCCGGAAGAACACCGGUGGCGAAGGCGGCCUGCUGGGCAGUAGCUGACGCUGAAGCGCGACAGCGUGGGGAGCAAACAGG
rnacentral:rRNA from 1 species